rfam:Cricetulus griseus cell line CHO-K1, whole genome shotgun sequence.
AGCUUUGCACAGUGUCAGUAUCAUAGCCAAUUAGGUUUAUCUGAGGCUUGAUUACUGCUAAUUGAAAAACUUUUUUUUUUGGGGGGGGGUUUCGAGACAGGGUUUCUCUGUGUAGUUUUGGAGUCUAUCCUGGCACUCGCUAUGGAGA